rnacentral:rRNA from 1 species
CAUGAAGUUGGAUUCGCUAGUAAUCGCGCAUCAGCCAUGGCGCGGUGAAUACGUUCCCGGGCCUUGUACACACCGCCCGUCAAGCCAUGGGAGCCGGGGGUGCCUGAAGUUCGUGACCGCAAGGAGCGACCUAGGGCAAAACUGGUGACUGGGGCUAAGUCGUAACAAGGUACC